rnacentral:piRNA from 1 species
UAUCAAUCUGAUCUUAUGAUGCUUGUGCUU